CCUCUCGUAGUUUAGUGGUAGAAUAUUGGUGAGUAAAGCCAAAGGUUCCGGGUUCGAUUCCCGGCGGGGGUG
rfam:Agrilus planipennis Contig32281, whole genome shotgun sequence.